rnacentral:ncRNA from 1 species
CUCUGAUUUAGGAAAUAUCUCAGGGCAUAAAGGAG